rnacentral:lncRNA from 1 species
CCUUUAUAUAUAGUACACACAAAGUUAUAUACAUCUACAUUGCACAACGUGCCUAAAACCUCACAUUACACGUUUUUUUUCAAAUUUUCUACACUAACGAGGCACUUUUCUAAACAUUUUACUUUUACCCCCAAAAAAAGUAAAAUCACAAAAAUACUGAACUCAGAGGAAAAUAAAAUCGGAAAGUUCCUAAUCACAUGGCAAAAAUCAAAUGACAAAACAUAUUCCU